rnacentral:piRNA from 1 species
UGACCACAAGAAGUUGACAAGGGCUGUUUA